GUUGUCCGGAAUUAUUGGGCGUAAAGAGCUCGUAGGCGGUUUGUCGCGUCUGCUGUGAAAACUGGAGGCUCAACCUCCAGCCUGCAGUGGGUACGGGCAGACUAGAGUGCGGUAGGGGAGAUUGGAAUUCCUGGUGUAGCGGUGGAAUGCGCAGAUAUCAGGAGGAACACCGAUGGCGAAGGCAGAUCUCUGGGCCGUAACUGACGCUGAGGAGCGAAAGCAUGGGGAGCGAACAGG
rnacentral:rRNA from 1 species